AUGGAGCCACCGGAUCCAUCAAAGAAAAGGAAUCUGCCAUGUGAGGAGGGCGGCAAGCAGGGGAACACCAAAAAGCCGAGGUGUGUCCGUCGUGGGGGAGAAAGUACGGAUGGAGAUGCAGCUCAGCUGGUUUGCGGUGGUGCUAGCAACCAAAACACCGAUGUCGACAGAUCCAAUGCCUCGGUUGGUGAGGAGGAGGGAGGAGAAGCACGGCCUCGUAGUGGUCAAAAAAGGAAACGGGUGUUGGUGGACCAGAACAGCUGCAUGGGGGCAAGGGGGCGUAGAUCUAGUAGGACACUAGUUCUUGUUAAUAGAUCUGCGCUCUCGCAGAUUGAAAAUCUACCGAUCGUUCCACACAGUUUCCCAUCAGAGUCGACCCUCCUCUGUGGUAGGGUAGUUAAAUGUACUUGGAGUUGUCAUCAGAUCCUCAAGCUUGGGAUGCUGUACUAUCUGCUAGUUCAUAGGACUGGGAUGGCUAGUCUGUUGACCGCUGCAUGGGAUGGAGAGGCUGAUAGGAGGUUCUACGCUUGGCUGCUGAGUAGGUUUAGGUGA
rnacentral:rRNA from 1 species